GGCGGAGCCAACUACCACUUGUCUUCCACUGCCAUGAUGAGAAUCGGUGUGUGGCAGAGGCCUCUAGGACAACACUGCGCUGUGUGGCCAAGUUCCGAAAUAGGCCGGAACUUGAAAAACCUAUGAAGAAGGAGAAAGUCUGGAAGUUUGCCGAGUGCCUGCUGACAGAGGACGACACCCGAGUCGCCAAUUACCUACGGCAGGCACUGCAGUACCUGCAGAGCCCACAGGAGUCCCUGAGAGCAGCGGCCAUCAGGU